rnacentral:rRNA from 1 species
GACGAACGCUGGCGGCGUGCCUAAUACAUGCAAGUUGAGCGCUGAAGGGUGGUACUUGUACCAACUGGGUGAGCAGCGAACGGGUGAGUAACGCGUGGGGAAUCUGCCUUUGAGCGGGGGACAACAUUUGGAAACGAAUGCUAAUACCGCAUAAAAACUUUAAACACAAGGUUUAAGUUUGAAAGAUGCAAUUGCAUCACUCAAAGAUGAUCCCGCGUUGUAUUAGCUAGUUGGUAAGGUAAAGGCUCACCAAGGGGAUGAAACAUAGCCGACCUGAGAGGGUGAUCGACCCCGUGGGAACGGGGACACCCCCCAGCCCCCUCGGGGGGGCAGCAGUGGGGAAUCUUCGGCAUUGGGCGAAAGCCGGACGGAGCACCGCGGCGUGGGUGAUAAGGUUCUUCGGAUCUUAAACCUUUGUUAUUGGGAAGGACCAUAUGUGGAGGGAACUGUGCACGACGUGACGGUACCUAAUCAGAAAGCCACGGCUAACUACGUG